AGAAGAAAAAAAAAAACGACACAGACCUGGAAGUCGAGAGAGGAAGACGACACACACCUGGAGGUCGAGAGAGGAAGACGAAGUCGAAGCCCAACCAGUCCAAGUCGAAGUCGUAGCCCAGCCAGUCCGAAUCGAAGUCGAGAGAGGAAGUCGAAGUCGAAUUGAAGUCGAGAGAGGAAGUCGAAUCGAAGUCGACACAGAUUAGGUUCGUUACAAUGAGAAUCUUCCUAUGGUGCUUCAUGGCAUAACCUGCACAUUUCCUGGUGGGAAGAAGAUUGGAAUUGUUGGGCGUACUGGAAAUGGUAAAUCUACAUUGAUCCAGGCAUUGUUCAGAUUGAUUAAGCCUGUAGAAGGCAGAAUUAUUAUAGACAAUAUUGAUAUUUCAACAAUUGGUCUUCAUCCGUAGCCGUCUAAGUAUUAAACCCCAAGAUCCGAACUUAUUUGACGGGACCAUUGGGGGCAACCUUGAUCCCCUCCACGAGCACUCAGAUCAAGAAAUUUGUUCUAGAGAAUGGAGAUAAUUGGAGUCUGGGCAGCGGCAACUUGUUUCCCUGGGCCGGGCUUUACUAAAACAGGCAAAAAUUUUGGUUCUUGAUGAAGCCACUGCUUCAGUUGAUUCAACUACAGAUAAUCUUAUCCAGAAGAUCAUCCAAACAGAGUUUAGGGACUGCACUGUGUGCACUAUUGCUCAUCGUAUACCAACUGUUAUUUACAGCGAUCUAGUUCUGGUCCUCAGCGAUUCAUAAGCUCUGCUAGUUGAGGAACAUAGUGGCCUGUUUGGAAGCAAAUAAAAAAUUGUGAGACUUCCAAAUCAAGCUGCCAAGUUUUUUAAAGUGGGCGUUGAGGUGAGCCUCUUCUUUGUUCCUUAGGCUGCCCCUUGAGGGGAUGAUAUUUCGACAUGGCCCGUAAUAAGACAAAAGGCCUCUCAGCAGCGGUUUUGAAUAUAAGUAUAGUUUUUAGAUGGUUUAGCACUUCAGGAAUUUUUUUUUUUUUGGAACGUUUUGGACGGUUUUGAACUAAGGAUAGUUUUUGAUGUCUAGAAACAUUAGUUUUGGAUGGUUUGGAAUGAAUAGAUAGUUUUUGGAUGAUCAAAAGUUAUAGAUAGUUUUUUUUUUUUUUUUUUGGAUAUUUGAAACAAUAUUUUAGUAGUUGAUUGUAAAACUUGUUCGUAAAACUUGUUUGUAAUGUCUUCUUAUAUUGUAUUAGGUGAAAUAAAACAUGU